rnacentral:tRNA from 1 species
GGGUCUGUAGCUCAGUUGGUUAGAGCGCACCCCUGAUAAGGGUGAGGUCGGUAGUUCGAGCCUACCCAGACCCACCA